rnacentral:lncRNA from 1 species
AUGCUUAUAAAACCCAUCCUCACAAACUCAACAUUCCAUUCUGCCGCCACUAUAAUUCAUUCUCCGAUAACCACACCUCCUUCCACUUCACCAGCUGGGGUUUUGUUUUCUCACCUUUUCACUCUAAAACCUUCUUUCACUAUUCCCCAGAUCUUCAUCUAUCUUAAACCCUGCUUUUUCCGGGGUUUUUUGUUCUUUAAACAAGCAUUUUUGUUGCUUACACGGAGUAUAUGUUCUGGUUGA